ensembl:lncRNA
AGAACACAAGGAAGUGGAGGGGGGAAUGUCUGCUUUCCACUUUCUCCCCCCAUUCUCUCCUCCACACUAUUUCUCUCCUCCUUUUUCUGAAAGAGCCCUGAUGAGAUUUCCACUAAUCAGCCGAGGAUUAACUGGGACUCAGACGACACUACAUCUAAUUCCCCCUCCACUGCCACUGGGGCAACACGAGGCCCCAACGCAGCCCCCCCCCCCCCAGCACCCGGGCACCGCGCACACCGCUGUGUUUCUACUCAAACUCUCGUACGAGAUACGCACUUGUUGAGCAUCAGAGUUCCCUCGUUGAAUCGCUCCAUCGUGACAGUUCUGCCCUGAAAUAUUGAUUCCUUGUUAUAUUGUCUUUAAUUUUUGUUUAAAGAGAAAUAGAAAAACAUAAAAGUAUCGUGACUCGUGAUUUUCUGCAUUUUGGUGAAGAGGUGAACAGCCAGCAAAAGGGUUCAAUUCCCUUUUACUCACUGGAUACACGCUGUGAAAGGUUUUUACACAAAAUAAAAAAACUUCACCCAGACCGGACAGCGCUGUGGGUGUGACCUGUCAAUCACAGUGAGCCCACCCCGAAUUUGAAUUUUGAACUGAAAAGUAUACUAAUUUAAGGAUGCUACUUUUCACGUAUUUAGGCCUGUUAUUUGGAUUCUGGUGACACAGGCACAUUAAGAGAGACACGGAUACGACAUUUUUCCUGAAAACACCCAGAUUUUUGCCGCUCAAACCGCCUUCAUCUCGUCUUUUCCGUACUAACACCCUUCUCCUUCUGCCCGAGACGAGUGGCGCACUCGCCGCCUGCUCGGAUGAGAACGCGAUGGUCGGCUUGUGCUCUUCAAAGCGACCCCCCCCCGGGCAUCGGGAGCUCGUUCGUUUUAAUGCCGAGGCUCAGCGCGCAGGUCACGGCGGCCCACCCACACGGAUAAACCUCUAACACCAACAAAUAUCAAGCUCAGGAGCGGGCCGCUCCGCCACCGGGUGAGGUGGGACGUGCGAGAUUCCAAAGUCAGCAUCUGCCUGAUGUUUCCACCACAAUAUAUUGGAGGUGAGUGGGUUGCAUUUCCAGUCUGGUGGAGCACAUUUUGGCAGCGCCCCCCCCCCCCCCGGUGCUAUCUGGGAGACAGGUUGGCUUCCCAGCCUCCCACAGCUCUGCAGUAAUGAAGGGGGCCGUCUUACCCAAACAAACAGGCUCUCUGGAGAUGUACCUCAACCACCUCCUUAAUCCAGGAAGUCUCUCUUAUCUCUGCACAAAUGGCCCCGUGGUGCGAGGCACAGCGCACCGCGAUGCCAUUCAUCAGCGGGACCCCGGAGGAGCCACCGCGGCGGCCCGGCCGAUGGGAAAAGGGCCAACGGGGCCACGGCACUCCGCUGUCGUAAAGCCAGGUUUUGUGGACGAGGCGUCCAUCACAGUGUCACAGUGGUGAAUCCGGCCGCAGUUGUGUCUUUUCAUUUAUCGUCGGCAGAUACUAACAGCGCUGUCGUUUCAGUCGCUGAGGAUUUUAGGAUUAUUCUGCUGUGGCAUUUGUCAUAAAUCUUCCAAGACGAGGGCCUAUUCAACACAGUGUGAAGCAGGCUGUUCUCAGAAACAGUUAUCUAUGUUUAUAAUAAGAACAGAAGAAUCACACUCACAGGUUGAUCCGGGCAGAUUGAGUUUUGCCUCAAAAUAAUGUUUUUUUUUGUGUUGUAGCUUUGACCAAAAUCAAUUUUAUGAAUUGUUUGGAAGGUACCAAAUGCUGCAAAAUGGAACAGUUUGAUGGCUUGUCCAAAUAGAUGGUGGUGCCUAAAGGUGCUGACAGGAAGAAAGGGGGUGCGGGCGGGGGGCUGGAUGGGGAGGGGACAACAUUUGGGGAGUGAGGCAGCGUAGAAGAGUAAUUUGUGUAGGAGUUGUGACACUCGGCGCCGCUCAGUUCACAGAGAGCUAAAAGCUUUGCGGCGGAAACACUCCCACGCGAGGCGCCGGCUCCCUGUCAGGAACACAGCUGAUUCCUGCUCACGGGCCGCCGACGUGAAGACUUUCAACACCGUACAAUUGGGUUUUAAUCAGAUUUUAAAUGAAAAAAAAACAUAUUCAAGCAACACCAAAAUAACUUUCAUUUUUUCUUGAAUUUUUUAGUUCACGAAUGAUAUUUUGGUUUAAUUUUUCUCAGUUGCCGGUAUUGUUUGAGUGUCGAUGCUUUUAUGAACAAUAUAAUACAAUAACUAUUAUUGAUAUUAAUUAGUAUUAUUCAAAUGACAAUUUUGAUGAUGUCUUUAUUCGUGGGAAUUUCAUAAGUACAUUUAAUAUAAAUAGUUUUAAUGAUAAUAAUAGGAUAAUUUCAAAGUGGCCAUCAAAACAAAAUAUCAUAACUAUCCACAAUUAAUAAUGAAAAAAAAUCUGUUCAGCUACUUGCAGAAAUCCGUAAAUAUAAUAUUUUAUACAACGUUAACUUUCCUUUUGUUGAUUAUUUAGUACAUGCUUCAAUAUAAAAUACAAUCAGGAAUAUUUAUCAUAUGAAAUUAUUACUUAAUACAUAAAUGAAAGAGAAUUAUUAUUAUUAACUAAACCUUUUCUACUACUACUACAUUUUUUCAUUCUACAAAAAAUUCACAAAAAAAUGUAUAUGUCUGAUUCACUUUUCCUGGUAAAGUUGAUUUGAGCAAAAUUUCCAUUUCUUUUCUUUUGCUGCUCUACUUAUUUCAUGUUUUCAUCUAGAUUCAUGAUUUCAUCAUUCACGUGAAAAUGUUUAAGACACUAAAUAGGCUACUAAGAUACUAAUAAAGCUUUUUAUACCAUUGACUAAAAUGAUCGAUCUAUUGUUCUUUUCUGGAUAUGUCCAUUAUUUAGAGCAUAUUCUGUCAAAUCACAAUUUGCAUAUCAUAUUAAAAACACAUUUUCCCUCAAUUAGACCUGCGAUUGUGUGAUAAAACGUGUGUUAAGAGCCGAGCGGUUUCUCCGCGUCCGGUUUUCAGCCAUUUGCUGAAAGGCUUUCCUCCCACAGUGUUGAUCGCUAAUACUGAUCUGUACAUUUUUUCCCCAACUAAAGCUCUUAUAAAGAGCUAAGUCCAUAAGACUGUGUUUGCGAGUUUAGUAACUACGCCAACAAGGCAACAAGGAGCUGGAGAGAAUUGGAGAGCGAGCGCGCAGCCGGUCCAGAGAGCCGAAAGCAGCUGUGUUUUUACAACCACUGAAACACAACGCUAGAAAGGAUUCUUUCUGUUUUUUUUUUUUCCAUCGGCUACCCAUACUGCACCUGCCAUUUCCAUCACAGCCAUGUGGUCACAAAGGGAGCAGUAUAUCUGUCAACAGGAUCAAGUGCUCAAAAGAAACCGCGAGCCACACAAUCCUUCAAGACGCCCCCCCUCCCCCUGGUCUCAGACAAAAGCCCCCCCCCCACCCGAAGCCCCUCAACCUGCACACAUCAGCCCAGUUGAGUCAGGACGUCGUCCCUGUACCUGUGAGGGGGACGUCUGAACCGUCACCCGCAGAGGCCGGUUUUUCCAAAGAGACACUGGCGAGUUCGUGUUGAUGAUCCCGCGGCACUGAGAUGUGCGAGUUGAUGUCGACGUUCAAGGCGUCGUUUCACAGAGGAGCGCGGCGGCAGAUAGAAGGUCGACGCCGUCGACGGGUACGUUAUGGUUGCCGUCGCGGCUCCAAAGAGAGAGACUUAGGUC